UUUGUCAACCUAUUAACAGACAAUUCAACCAAAGUCAUAUAUACUUAAGUCAUAUUUCCUUCAAGCAACUUAUAUUCAGAAUUAACAUUAAAACUUUGACAUCAUCAAAAUUUAUUUCUAAAUAAAGCUCAAGGAAAUUUUUGUCUAGAAAAAAUCUAUCGUUUCGUAGUAAAAGAAAUUUCGGAGCAAAUAUCCAUAAAUGUACCUGAGGGCAGAUAAUCUCUAUCGUCCUUAUGUACUUAUACUUUCCAGAUUUUUGAGUUUUUCGCUCAGUGUAAAGCACUUAUCAUAUGAAAACGAGAUGACAAAACCAAAGUACAAUAUCUUAAAGCAAAUUAAGAACCGCAAUCAGCCGCAAACAUUUCACACACAGCCAACACACACACAUACACACACACACACACACAUGUAUUUAUACUUGUAUAUGUAUUUAGCAAUCGAAUGAUGGAAAUUGUCGCGUAACGUCCCCAACUCAAAAGGGUUGCAGCAGUUGAAAGGGAAGCCUGUUUGCCGCCGUGCAUCGAAUGGGGUUGGCGUUCCGAAUGUGGUGGAACGUUUGUUGUUUGAUGCCAAUGCCAAGAAAUGCCAUGAUAAGCACAGCAACACACAACACAUACAACGACCCACUCACCCACCCACCCACACAGUCACACACUCACACACACAUACAAACACACAUACACAUGAACAGUUGCACUUAAUACGCUUAAUUGACUUUCAUGUAUGCACGAGUGAGUGCAGCGACACGAGAGAGCAGCGCCGAAUGGCAGGGGGCGGCUGGAGGGGGAGUGGUUGGAGCGUGUAACAUGGAGUGAGGGACUCGGGACGCGGAACGUGGAGCACGGGACACGGAACGAGUGGCGAGGGGCAGAUGACGUGUCGGGCGCAGGAACAUGCUGACGUCUGCUGUUCCUACAUGUUGACCAGGCUGCUGCACCACUGAGGCAGAGCUGAAUGCGAAUUGAUGCCAGCCAGCAACUGGUGACACUAGCGAUGCGAAAUUAGCCCACCAACGGGCUGAGGGCAGUCCGAAAUCAAUCGUAACACUUUAACUGAUCCCCAAUGUUAGAGCCUAUCAUGGCUGGCAAAAACUACAUACAUAUAAAGGGAUACACUAAAGAGACUCCAAAAAUAAUAAUGUGAAUAUACAAGGUCACCGAAUAGAAAUGAAAAUUAAUGAACUCCUACUUGUAAUGUAAUUAACAUGUAAAGAUUAAAUAAAGGUUAGAUAUGAUUGGACAUCA